GAUGAACGCUGGCGGCGUGCCUAAUACAUGCAAGUCGAGCGAACGGACGAGAAGCUUGCUUCUCUGAUGUUAGCGGCGGACGGGUGAGUAAAACGUGGAUAACCUACCUAUAAGACUGGGAUAACUUCGGGAAACCGGAGCUAAUACCGGAUGAUAUUUUGAACCGCAUGGUUCAAAAGUGAAAGACGGUCUUGCUGUCACUUAUAGAUGGAUCUGCGCUGCAUUAGCUAGUUGGUAAGGUAACGGCUUACCAAGGCAACGAUGCAUAGCCGACCUGAGAGGGUGAUCGGCCACACUGGAACUGAGACACGGUCCAGACUCCUACGGGAGGCAGCAGUAGGGAAUCUUCCGCAAUGGGCGAAAGCCUGACGGAGCAACGCCGCGUGAGUGAUGAAGGUCUUCGGAUCGUAAAACUCUGUUAUUAGGGAAGAACAUAUGUGUAAGUAACUGUGCACAUCUUGACGGUACCUAAUCAGAAAGCCACGGCUAACUACGUG
rnacentral:rRNA from 1 species